CCUACGGGAGGCUGCAGUGGGGAAUAUUGGACAAUGGGCGCAAGCCUGAUCCAGCCAUGCCGCGUGAGUGAUGAAGGCCUUCGGAUUGUAAAACUCUUUCGCCGGGGAAGAUAAUGACGGUACCCGGAGAAGAAGCUCCGGCUAACUUCGUGCCAGCAGCCGCGGUAAUACGAAGGGAGCUAGCGUUGUUCGGAAUUACUGGGCGUAAAGCGCACGUAGGCGGAUUUUUAAGUCAGGGGUGAAAUCCCAAGGCUCAACCUUGGAACUGCCUUUGAUACUGGAAGUCUCGAGAUCGGGAGAGGUGAGUGGAAUUCCUAGUGUAGAGGUGAAAUUCGUAGAUAUUAGGAAGAACACCAGUGGCGAAGGCGGCUCACUGGCCCGAUACUGACGCUGAGGUGCGAAAGCGUGGGGAGCAAACAGGAUUAGAUACCCCGGUAGUC
rnacentral:rRNA from 1 species